rnacentral:rRNA from 1 species
AGUGAACGCUGGCGGUAGGCCUAACACAUGCAAGUCGAACGGCAGCACAGUAAGAGCUUGCUCUUACGGGUGGCGAGUGGCGGACGGGUGAGGAAUACAUCGGAAUCUACUUUUUCGUGGGGGAUAACGUAGGGAAACUUACGCUAAUACCGCAUACGACCUACGGUUGAAAGCAGGGGAUCUUCGGACCUUGCGCGAUUGAAUGAGCCGAUGUCGGAUUAGCUAGUUGGGGGGGGAAAGGCCCACCAAGGCGACGAUCCGUAGCUGGUCUGAGAGGAUGAUCAGCCACACUGGAACUGAGACACGGUCCAGACUCCUACGGGAGGCAGCAGUGGGGAAUAUUGGACAAUGGGCGCAAGCCUGAUCCAGCCAUACCGCGUGGGUGAAGAAGGCCUUCGGGUUGUAAAGCCCUUUUGUUGGGAAAGAAAAGCAGCAGGUUAAUACCCCGCUGUUCUGACGGUACCCAAAGAAUAAGCACCGGCUAACUUCGUG